rnacentral:rRNA from 1 species
CAGUCGAGCGACAGACAAGGAGCUUGCUCCUUUGACGUUAGCGGCGGACGGGUGAGUAACACGUGGGUAACCUACCUAUAAGACUGGGAUAACUUCGGGAAACCGGAGCUAAUACCGGAUAAUAUUUCGAACCGCAUGGUUCGAUAGUGAAAGAUGGUUUUGCUAUCACUUAUAGAUGGACCCGCGCCGUAUUAGCUAGUUGGUAAGGUAACGGCUUACCAAGGCGACGAUACGUAGCCGACCUGAGAGGGUGAUCGGCCACACUGGAACUGAGACACGGUCCAGACUCCUACGGGAGGCAGCAGUAGGGAAUCUUCCGCAAUGGGCGAAAGCCUGACGGAGCAACGCCGCGUGAGUGAUGAAGGUCUUCGGAUCGUAAAACUCUGUUAUUAGGGAAGAACAUACGUGUAAGUAACUAUGCACGUCUUGACGGUACCUAAUCAGAAAGCCACGGCUAACUACGUGCCAGCAGCCGCGGUAAUACGUAGGUGGCAAGCGUUAUCCGGAAUUAUUGGGCGUAAAGCGCGCGUAGGCGGUUUUUUAAGUCUGAUGUGAAAGCCCACGGCUCAACCGUGGAGGGUCAUUGGA